UGUUCAUAAGAGAAAAAUUUCAUAUUAACAUUGAAAAUGAUCAAAACAAUAGGUUUCACGUCAAAUUGAUAUGAAAACUGUUAAAUCAACAUUGGCAGUUAUUAAAUUGUCAUAUCAAUUUCACAUGUUAAUGAGAGAAAAAUGUCAUAUUAACAUUGAAAAUGGUCAAAACAAUAGGUUUCACGUCAAAUUGAUAUGAAAACUGUUAAAUCCACAUUUUUAUAUUAUUCUCAUAUUAAAAUGACAACAGCAGUUGACACUCAUGUUCGCGCAUGCAAAGAAUAAAAAACGCUAGAUCUAUUGAAAAUCGCAUUGAAAUUGUUUUAUAGUCUUUUUAAAGUGCAAACUGUGAGAAUAUUUAAUAAAAAACAACUCAGAAAGUUAAUAGAGAUUGUGAAAAUGAGUGAUAAUUCUUUAUUAUUUGGCGAAAAUGUUUCGCUGACUAUGAAUGACGCAGGGCAGCAUAUCGUUCUGGAAGCAACGCCUAUAGAAAUUGGUGGAAAUGGAGAAAUCAUAACGCAAUCUGCUCAGUAUGAAAUAUUAAGUGGAAAUUUAGAACAGAUUGUCCAAACUCAAUCAGGAGGAGAUCAGCGAUUAAAAGACUUAUUAAAAUAGAUGAAUAUAGAAGCCGCUUACGACAAGUUUUAUGCUUCUGGAAUCACAUUUGACCGGCUGAAGUACAUAAACUGUGACGACUUGGCGUUGGUAUUUCCAGGGAACGAAAAUAUCGGUUAUCGAGCAGAACUAAGGGAAAAAAUAAGGCUUUGGAAGCACAAUAACUUUCCAGAAUAAUCUGUUUCGAAUCUAAGUAUGAACUCAAAUAUCAAAAAUUGGAUUGAAAAUCAACCUCUUGACUCGCCAGCUACCAAUUCCACUUCGUCUGAAGUCACGGUAACGAUUGUUUUUAAGCGGUGCUUUUUUUCUAAAUUUAAUUUUAUUGUAGAGUGUAAUUGACAUGGUGAAAAACUCGAAAAGUGGCCAAUCUCUAUUAAGCUUAUAUCAAACGAAGCAAAAGUUAGAUGCAGGUGAUAGAAAAAUAUUGCUUAACAUUAUUGUGGAAAAUGAUGACGUUUGUACAUUUCCUUCCUCUAAUCAUAGGAGAUCGCAUUCCAGACAACGACGAAUGUUGGUUAUUUUUUUUAACGCUCCUCAAAAUUAUUGACAUGAUUAAUA